GACGAACGCUGGCGGCGUGCUUAACACAUGCAAGUCGAACGGUGACGAGGAGCUUGCUCCUCUGAUCAGUGGCGAACGGGUGAGUAACACGUGAGCAACCUACCCCUGACACUGGGAUAACAGUUGGAAACAGCUGCUAAUACCGGAUACGACCUCGGCAGGCAUCUGCCGGGGUGGAAAGCUCCGACGGUCAGGGAUGGGCUCGCGGCCUAUCAGCUUGUUGGUGAGGUAACGGCUCACCAAGGCGACGACGGGUAGCCGGCCUGAGAGGGCGACCGGCCACACUGGGACUGAGAUACGGCCCAGACUCCUACGGGAGGCAGCAGUGGGGAAUAUUGCACAAUGGGCGAAAGCCUGAUGCAGCAACGCCGCGUGCGGGAUGACGG
rnacentral:rRNA from 1 species